CGAGCGGACAGAAGGGAGCUUGCUCCCGGAUGUUAGCGGCGGACGGGUGAGUAACACGUGGGUAACCUGCCUGUAAGACUGGGAUAACUCCGGGAAACCGGAGCUAAUACCGGAUAGUUCCUUGAACCGCAUGGUUCAAGGAUGAAAGACGGUUUCGGCUGUCACUUACAGAUGGACCCGCGGCGCAUUAGCUAGUUGGUGAGGUAACGGCUCACCAAGGCGACGAUGCGUAGCCGACCUGAGAGGGUGAUCGGCCACACUGGGACUGAGACACGGCCCAGACUCCUACGGGAGGCAGCAGUAGGGAAUCUUCCGCAAUGGACGAAAGUCUGACGGAGCAACGCCGCGUGAGUGAUGAAGGUUUUCGGAUCGUAAAGCUCUGUUGUUAGGGAAGAACAAGUGCAAGAGUAACUGCUUGCACCUUGACGGUACCUAACCAGAAAGCCACGGCUAACUACGUGCCAGCAGCCGCGGUAAUACGUAGGUGGCAAGCGUUGUCCGGAAUUAUUGGGCGUAAAGGGCUCGCAGGCGGUUUCUUAAGUCUGAUGUGAAAGCCCCCGGCUCAACCGGGGAGGGUCAUUGGAAACUGGGAAACUUGAGUGCAGAAGAGGAGAGUGGAAUUCCACGUGUAGCGGUGAAAUGCGUAGAGAUGUGGAGGAACACCAGUGGCGAAGGCGACUCUCUGGUCUGUAACUGACGCUGAGGAGCGAAAGCGUGGGGAGCGAACAGGAUUAGAUACCCUGGUAGUCCACGCCGUAAACGAUGAGUGCUAAGUGUUAGGGGGUUUCCGCCCCUUAGUGCUGCAGCUAACGC
rnacentral:rRNA from 1 species